ACCGGGAGGCAGCAGUAGGGAAUCUUCCGCAAUGGACGAAAGUCUGACGGAGCAACGCCGCGUGAGUGAUGAAGGCUUUCGGGUCGUAAAACUCUGUUGUUAGGGAAGAACAAGUGCUAGUUGAAUAAGCUGGCACCUUGACGGUACCUAACCAGAAAGCCACGGCUAACUACGUGCCAGCAGCCGCGGUAAUACGUAGGUGGCAAGCGUUAUCCGGAAUUAUUGGGCGUAAAGCGCGCGCAGGUGGUUUCUUAAGUCUGAUGUGAAAGCCCACGGCUCAACCGUGGAGGGUCAUUGGAAACUGGGAGACUUGAGUGCAGAAGAGGAAAGUGGAAUUCCAUGUGUAGCGGUGAAAUGCGUAGAGAUAUGGAGGAACACCAGUGGCGAAGGCGACUUUCUGGUCUGUAACUGACACUGAGGCGCGAAAGCGUGGGGAGCAAACAGGAUUAGAUACCCUGGUAGUCCACGCCGUAAACGAUGAGUGCUAAGUGUUAGAGGGUUUCCGCCCUUUAAUGCUGAAGUUUCCUCCAUAAGCAUCCGCCGGGGAGACGGCGCAAGCGU
rnacentral:rRNA from 1 species